CAGGCAUGCCAGGAUAGGGUUCUCUCAUAGGCUCUCAUAGCUGAGACCUUCAUUUAGAAAACUCUUUUCAAUGGGGGAAAGAAAGCUAGGACCAUUUUUUUUUUUUUUGUCAAAAUGUUUGCUCACAAGCAUAUGUUCCUGCUAGCUGCUUUCCUGAUGAAAGGCCUCCUGUUGUCAUGUAAACACAAGCUCCCUCCCCUGUGUGUUCACCACAUCCGUGUGAUGUGGAGCCGGGAAGAAAGGAGCUCAGGCUCUGGCCUUGCCAGCCGUGUCAAGAAGCUCUCCUCUGAGGCUUCCAGAGCCUGCACACAUUUGACACGUAAAUGCUCAGGUGCCGUUGCAUCCCAGAUCUGUCUUCUGAAAAAGUGUAUUGCAUGGUGACCUUCUUAUGAUAAACUGCCAGGCUGCAGUGUAGAUAAACUUUUAGAUGUUGAGAUUUCAUUGAAUAACAGUUUAAAUAAAAACCAGACCGAAAUAAAAAUGAAUAGGAUGAAUGCAUGAAA